AACGAAGUAGUUUAGAACAAAAAACGUGAAGGAAACGUUUAAGAAGGAAAAGAAGAAAACGUAGAACGUGAAAAUCCAUAGGAUUAAACGUGAGACUUAUGAGUUUUCCUUUUCGUACAUUUUGUAAGUUCACGAAAAGUCUUUUUCGUGUCAGAGAUCUGAGUUGGAUGUCCUUUCUUUUAUAUUUCUAUCUUCUUUUCUCUUUUCUUUCUCUUCGAAGACAUUUCUCUUUUCUUUUGUACUAUAAACACCUGAGAGAGGAUGGAACAAAAGGAUAGAUCCGUGUUUUGAAAUAGGAAUAGUGAAAGGUGCGAUGAUAGCACGUGACUCGUCGAUUUCGCGAAUGCUCCCUUCGUCCUUAGUCGAUUUAGUUAGUUUCAAUGGAAAUAGUCGAAUGGAUACGCCACUGGGACGUUCUCGAAAGGUGCCUUGUACCCCGGAGGUUGCAUUUAUACGAAUUGCGGCGGAAGGAACCAUUGUAUAAUCCAAGAUGGCCUCCACGUCGGAGAGGAUUAUUAUUGGCUAAUACGAGGCAAGAGGCUCCGCCUUGGUUCACGGCUCGUGACGGGAUGAUUUAUUGGGAUUUCUGUCUGUUCGCCCCUGCGCUGCAACGAACGCGCGUUACCUAGGCUUUCCUAGACGGUAGGUAGGUAUCUCUCUGUAGAACUACGAUAUCGACUCUAGAAACGAGUCCAAGGAUGUCUUCGUUCUUACGUCGAUUUAACUUCUUUAUGCCUCUGUUGGAUACCACGUCUAUCCUUUCGACGAUGCUUUUAGAAAAUCCAUUUUACAGAUCUAUUCGUUUCAAUUCACUUAGAGAUAUUAAUUCUAUGGACGAGAUAAUUCCCCCCCCUCCCCCCCUCUAGCCCCCGCCCCGCCCCGCCCCUGUGUGAAUUAUCGCCCUGGAGUAUCGUUCAGAUACGUUCGACAAAAAAAUAUCUCGUUAAUUCGAUUUCGUAUUCGAUGAUGCGUUCGAUAAUGUUUCGUCGCUUUCGAUCUCUCAUCCACUUGGCAAGGACAUCGCUUAACUCCGCACGUGCUGACGUCAAUGAGCGAGAGAACAACGGAGAAUUGGUAUGUAACAUCAAUUGCGACGAUUAAGCGUCGGCUAAGUGGUAUGGACUUGAUAUGGACUUUAAUCGGUAGACGAAGCGUGACUUUGAUUCUCCGAAGAUUGGAGAAGAAGGAGAAGAAGGAAAAGAAGAAAUAAGAGAAUAAGAGAUGUGGGUUAGGCGUUUCAGGGCCAAGAAGAUAUCUCGGAGGUGUAUACAAGUUGAAGAUAGGUUUGAGGAAGGGUGAGACAAGGACGGACGACAAAGGGAGAAUGCUGGAGAUAGUGAGAGUGAGCGAGAAAGGGAACUGGGAAGAUAGAAGGGCUGGAAGGAGGAUGGCGGUCAGAAUUUAUGGGCGCUUUAUCACUUUACCGGCCUUGCCGCGUCUCCUUUAGCUGUGAGGAGGGCAGGAUCUCACGAUGAACUUUGGCACUCGACUCGGUCUACACUCGACGAACGGUUGGACCCAGUAUGGUUGCCACGUGCCACCAGAUGUCGUCCACGUUACGUCCACGAUGUAUAAGUGGACGAGGUUCGAGAAAUUCGUCGAAUAAUCAACGUUUUAAAGGGAAACCAAAUGAUUCUCUCUGAAAGUCCUUUCAAAACUGGCGCCCUUUCGAAGACCUGGCAGCCAUUAGACUACAAAGAGAAGAGAGAGAGAGAGAGAGAGAGAGAGAGAGAGAGAAAGAGAGAGAGAGAGAGAGAUAGAAAGAGAGACAGAGUGAGAAAGUCCAGGGAGAGAGGAUGAUGGUUCCAUCGAGUAGGUAGUGCCUAGACGGGGCUCCACCCAGCACUUAGUUCACGUCGCGAGUGUGGCCCGGGGCACGCUGGUAUCCAGGGUACAGUCACGCCCCUGCCGCAGAAACUACGUAUUCCCAUUCGCUGGCCCAUAUCUCAUCGGGUCCAUCGCAUUAGCCUAAUCUGCCAACGACGACGAAUAGAAAGCGGCUCGAUUGGGGCAACCAGGGGGCACGGGGACGAAGAGGGGGGCCGAGGGGUAGAGGAAAAAAAUGCGGCCAUCGACGUUACGUUGUUGUUGCGCUGUGCGCUCUCGGCACGAAAUCGCGGCGAGAUGCUGCCACCUAUCGAGGCGAAUCCGAGACCAAGACCGGUCCCCGGAUCGAUUUUUUUCUUACCUCUCUAUGUCGGACGCGUCUAUUUCUUUAAUAUUUCCGUUCUUCUUUUUCCUUUUUUUCUUUCUUUUCUUUUUCUUUUGUUUCUUUUUUUUUUAACCCGUGAUUCCCCUUCCGUUAAACGUUGAAUAGUUCAUUUGUUUAAUCUGACGAAGAUUACGUUGAUCAUCGGGCACGAUGCUACUUUGCUACUUGUUCAUUGGACUCGGUAAGAUUUUUGUCAUAUGCGUUCUUUACUGUUUUCUAUAUUCUUAUUCUUAUUCUUAUUCUUUCUUUCUUUAUUUCUUUAUUUCUUGUUUUUUUUUUUUGUCUUUCUUUUUCUUAUCUUUCUCGUUUCGAAAUGACGAGCAACGAAUUGCUUUAGCCGCGUACAAAGUAGUAGCUAAGGUUUUGUUUAACUGUCCUUAAAAGUAAAUGUAGGUGUGAGGAAAAAGUGUUUAUAUGCUGUUACAAGUCGUAUAUUCUCGCAGUAUGCGAGGAGACACGGACUGGACGUAUACCAUGUUCAAGAGGAAGAUGGUAAGACAUCGGUUUGAUUUCUUGUCUCAAAUGCGUUUUUCUUAUUCUCAAUAUCAAAGUGUGUAUGAUUUAUCAUUUGAUUCGCUUCGAAUGUUGAUGAUAAAUUGGGAUGUUGUAUAAGAUACGUUGAAUAAAUUACUACAUUGAU